UCCACUCCAGGCACCGAAGAGCCCUGCCACAGCCCUCCCGACUUCCCUGUCCCCUGGGAUCCCUGCCCUGCGUGGGCGCGGGCUUAAGGCUCCGCAGCAGCCGGGCGCCUCAGCCUACCUCGCUGAGCUUGGCACGAAGACCGCCAUCUGGACGUCCCCCGCGGGCCAGACCCUUGACUGCUUCUACUUGGCGUUGCCGCUGUCGCCCGGGAGGGUUGAGGACCCGCCAAGCUCAGCUCCUGUCCUGGGGUGCUCGGAAUCCUGUCUUGGGGCCCUGGGCAGCUCCUCGCUGCCUCAUCCUCCCGGAGCCCUGGGGAAGGGACAGCGCGUUGGCGCUGGGGGUGUCCGGAGCCCCUGCCUCCCGGCCUCCAUUCCACGUCCUCCAGGAGGACGAUUUCCGUCCCUCCACUCUAAGUCCUGUCUCGGCUCUUCCAUCCAACCUUAGAGGGGACACAGACCGAUUUUGGCGCCCGAGGUCCCCCAGCCCCCAUCGCCAACCCCCUCACCCUGCGGUCUUCUCGCCCUGUCCCUUUCAGUAGGGUCUGGACACCGGCAGCUUCUCCGCGCUGACCCACCCCACCUCGAGCCCCUGCCUCCACCUUCUCCUGCCUCAGCACCCCCGGCGCGGACAGCUCCUCGCUGUCGCCUCCACCCCUGGCCCUGGCGGGACCCAGGCGCGGACCUCCUGGGCGCCUGCUCGCGGGGACAGCUCCCGCGCCCUGCCCUCCUCGCGUCCCUCCCGGGCGCAUGGAGACCCCGGGGGUCUGCGACGGGGCCGAGGCGUGCGGCGGGCCGAGCCGCGCUCGCAGCCGCCCGGGCGCACCCAGGCCCCCGAAG
rnacentral:lncRNA from 1 species